AACGUUGAAUUCAUGGUUUUGAGUACGUUUUCAGUUCAUGCGAGCUCGUUAGAUUCGUCGAAAAGCCGUGUCUGGGCUCGCUCGCAGGUUAUCGUGCUGCUCGCUGCCUGCUAACUGACCUAAGGGUUUUUGUGCUGUGAACGUGCUGAGCUGAAACCACUGAAAUAUGUUAUAUUAUUAAACUGGCACAAAAGCAAACCUAUCUUCAAAACUCAGGGUGUUGGUGGCUGCUGCUCAGCGGAGUGGUCUGUAGAUGCGUGACUACCGUGGAAGAUUUCUGUUGUUUGCAAGGAGACAAAAUCAAGAUUAAUUCUCUGAUUAUAUUGUUCGUUAUUUCCUAUUUCUGCAUCUCUCCAGCUGAUAAAAUCAGUCAGUAGAAAAUGGGUGCAGAAAGUUAAACAAGCAACCAGAUGUAAUCAAUCAAAAGGCAUUUAAUGUAAUCAAAGGGCAUUUGUACAUUAGAACACACUAUCAGUUGCUUAGUAUGUUUUUAUGUUUCCCUUUGGUUUCUGUGUGCUUGUUGGAUGGUCCAGAUGAAUGAGGUGUGCGUGAAGCUUUGAGGUGUGAGCCAUUUUUGGUGGGAUCCCUAGUUGGAGUGGGUGUUGGUCACUGUCUAGGGUUAGGGUUUGAGUUAAGGUUCAAUUUAGGGUUAGGAUUUGGAGAGAGAGAAACUGCAUAUCCCCACUUGAGUGGUGUUGGGAAGGGUCUACCAAAGAAGUUUGAUGUGUACCAGAAGCUUUGAUCUGUGGGCCCCUGUUUAUAGGAUCCCAGCUGGAGUAGAUGUUGGAGCUCUGAGUGGUUGUCUGAAUAGGUCUCUGUCCAGGUUUAGCGUUUGGAUUAAGUUUAAUGUUUGGAUUCUGGCUAGGGUUUGGAAAGAAAGUGCAUUUCUCCCAUGUGUUGGAUCUGGUCACUGUCUGGGUUUAGGGUUAAGGUUUCUAGAGAGAAAGCACGUAUCUGUUGUAUGAGUGGGGCUGCCAAAGAAGGUUGAGGUGCACCAGAAGCUUAGAUGCGUGGGCUCUUUUUGGUGGGUUGGGAUGUGGAGAGGGUGGGACGGUGUAACACUUCCUUGAGAGUUUGUAGUGUUUUGUUUUGAUGUGAGAAAUGGAGUUUUAGUUCACACUCCCACCCAGCUGUGGGUAAAGUCUUCAUGUGUAUAGAUAGUCCUUGCCGUCUUGAGGUUUUUGCAGACAGUUUCUCUUGCAGGGAAGUAAAGCAACUGAUCAGAAUCUUUGGUUAGGUUUUAUCUAAAAACUGGUACAUAUAACAUAUGUGCCUAAGAUAAUCUUCUGGGUACUGAAGUAAUGGCUUUGGCAUUUCUUUUGCUUAUUUUUAAGUCCUCGAGUUUUUUUUUAAUUUCCCAGAUAAUUAUAAUUUUUAUGUUAAGUACUGCAGUUUUUUAAAGGAGUUUUCUUUUUGCAUUUGAUGCUGACUGUACAAAAAUUUCACAUCGUUUAGUUUUUUCAAAGUGCUUGUGAACAUUGAAUCUCCAUAGCCACGCUGAGAUGUUUUCUGCCACAUGUACAGGUCUGGAAGGGCUUUUAGGCUUUCCGUUUGGGGUGGAGCAUAUAGUGAACAGGACAGGCUUUUUUUUUUUCUGCUGGUAGGAUAGACUGAGUGGGGGAAACACUCCGGGCAAACACUUGGAGACCUUAUUGGUUCCUUCCACCUGAUGCAUGGGGACUUAAAUUCACUGCAGGAACUGGUGGAGUGGUCUGGGAAGAGGAGAGAGCUUGGUGACCUUUCAGCUAGCUCAGAUUGGCUCUGCAAGUGGCAGAUAUAUCAGAAGGGCUCUGAAACAGGCAUCUGAAAGUACUUGAAGGCUUUGCUGUUUAGGGGUCAGUGCUUCCCCUGAAAACCCGCUGGAUGGAUUUCCAGAGCUGGUUUGCCUUCCCUGUUGGGAUAUUGCUAUGCUGUGCUCUUCAAACAUCUGCCAUUCACCUUCCUGCACCCGAAAACUGCACCAGCAAUGGUCAAAGAAUAUCCUUCAGCCACUCCUACAAGAUUGACAUGCCCGCAUCCUCCCAGAUCAAGGUGGAGGCAGAUCCAUUGCAGCACGAAGGCAACAGUGGGGUACAGCUAGAUCCUGGUGAGGCUGCGGAAAAUGAAGAGCAGGACAUCAUCUUUAGGCACAACAUCCAUGUGCAUGCUCCCAGAAGGGGUUGUGAAACUCUGGCCCACGUUAAAGAUCUUCUUGAGAGGAUGGAGAAGCUGGAGAAAGAAGUUGCAGAGCUGAGAGAAGUCUGCAGCCCUCAGAAGUGCUGUGGGGGAAGCCAGGGUGCCGUGCACUGCAGCGGCCAUGGGACGUUCCUCUAUGAGACCUGCAGCUGUAAGUGUGCGGAGGGCUGGGAGGGCAGUGACUGCUCCCUCCCCACCUGCCCCAACCUCUGCAGCGGCCGUGGGCGCUGUGAUGGAGGGAGGUGUAUCUGUGACGAGCCUUAUUUCGGUGAGGACUGCAGCCAGCAGCUCUGUCCUGAGAACUGCAGCGGCAAUGGGAUCUGUGACACGACUAAAGGGGUCUGCCAGUGCAAUGAGGAGUUCAUCGGAGAGGACUGCAGCGAGAAACGAUGUCCCGGGGACUGCAGUGGCAAUGGGUUCUGUGACACAGGAGAGUGCUACUGCCAUGAGGGUUUCUUUGGCCCUGACUGCUCCCAGGUGCUUGCUCCUCAGAACUUGCAGCUGCUGAACGCUACAGAGGAUUCCAUGGCUGUCAGCUGGGAUCAGAUGAUUGAUGUGGAUAAUUACCUCAUUAGCUAUUACCCAGUGGGGCAUGAGACACUGGAGAAACAAGUCCACGUGCCCAAAGAGCAGCUCACCUAUGAGAUUGUGGGUCUUCGUCCUAGCACCACAUACAAUGUCACACUUCGUCACGUGAAGAAGGGGAUUGCCAGUGAACCCAUGCAUCUAGAAGCAAGUACAGUCCCAUCUGCACUCAGUGCCAUCUGGGUGACGGAGGAGACGGAGUAUUCCCUGGAAGUAGAGUGGGAGAACCCACCAAUGGAUGUGGAUUACUACAGGCUGAAAUUCAGAUCCCUGGUGGGCAUGGAUGAGAAGCAGGUCAUGGUGCCCAAAAGCAGUGACCCCAAGAGCAGAUACGUCAUGACUGGCCUGAAACCUGGCAUGGAGUACGAGGUUACUGUCACACCUGUGAGAGAUGAUACAGAGGGUAAACCAUCCUCAGUGAGUGGCAGGACAGGAAUUGAUAGCCCAGCCAAUGUGGUGACAGAUCGAGUGACAGAGGACACAGCCACUGUCUCAUGGAAUAAAGUCCAGGCUCCCAUAGACAGGUACAUGGUGAGAUACACCUCAGCUGAUGGAGACACCGAGGAAACAGAGGUAGGCAGUGAAAACAGCAUCAUCACCUUACUGAAUCUGAAGCCAGGCAUGGAAUAUACCAUCCACAUUUGGGCAGAGAAGGGACCCCACAGGAGCAAGAAAGCCAGCACCAGAGCUCUGACAGAGAUUGACGGCCCAACUGAACUGUUGGCUGACCAGGUGACAGAGAAUGCAAUCACAAUUUCCUGGAACAAAGUCCAGGCUUUAAUAGACAGAUACAGAGUGAAUUACACCUCGGCCGAUGGGGAUACGGAGGAGAGAGAAGUGGAGAAAGACAAGAAUGUCACCACCCUCGUGGGACUGAAGCCAGGCAUGGAGUAUGUUAUUCGCAUCUGGGCAGAAAAGGGAGAACAACACAGCAAGAGGGCCAGCACUGAGGCUAUGACAGAAAUUGACAGCCCCACUCACCUGGUGACUGAUCAAGUGACAGAAGACACAGUCACCAUCUCCUGGGACAAGGUUCUGGCUCUCAUAGAUAGGUACGUGGUGAAUUACACCUCUGCUGAUGGUGACACCGAAGAGGUAGAAGUGGGGAAGAACAAGACUGCCACAACUCUGGAAGGGCUGAAACCUGGCACUGAAUAUGUCAUCUACCUCUGGGCAGAGAAAGGAGUGCGGCAGAGCAAGAGGACCAGCACUGGGGCAGUGACAGAACUGGACAGCCCGAAGAAUCUGGUAACUGACCAAGUGACAGAAGAUUCAGCCACAAUCUCCUGGGAUAGCGUCCAAGCUCCCAUAGAUAGGUAUAUUGUGAGCUGCACUUCUGCUGAUGGGGACACCAAGGAAAUAGAAGUGGGGAAGGCCAAGAGCAUAGCAACUCUGACAGGACUGAAAGCAGGCAUGAAGUACAGCAUCCAUCUCUGGGCAGAGCUGGGAAGCAUGCAGAGCAAGAGGGCAAGCACUGAUGCGCUGACAGAGAUUGAUCCUCCCAAGAACCUCCGUGUAUCCGAUGUGACUGAGUCUACUGGUGUAGUUACCUGGGCUCCUCCUGCAGCACAGAUUGAUGGCUACACUCUGACCUACCAGGGUCAAAAUGGCACCAGCAAGGAAGUGCAGCUGGGUCCUAGCGAACAACAGUUUGUGCUGAAAGGACUGGAACAAGGAACAAAGUACACUGUCUUUGUGAUGGCCUAUAAGGGAGAUCGCCAGAGCAGAAAGGCAGGCAGUACCUUCUCAACAGUUAGCUUCCUCUACCCGUACCCUGCGGACUGUGCCCAGAUGCAGCAGAAUGGAAACUCCUCCAGUGGCAUGUACACCAUUUAUCUCAAUGGCAAUGGCAGCAGGCCCAUGCAGGUGUACUGUGACAUGACCACCGAUGGAGGCGGGUGGAUAGUGUUUCAGAGGCGGAGCACUGGUGAGCUGGAUUUCUACAAACGCUGGAAAAAUUACGUGGAAGGCUUUGGAGAUCCCACUGGGGAAUUCUGGCUUGGUCUUGACCAGCUGCACAAUCUCACAAGCAGUAGCCCCAUCCACUACGAGCUGCGGGUGGAUCUGCGGACAGCCAACGAGUCUGCCUACGCUGUCUAUGACUUCUUCCAGGUUGCCUCGAGCAGAGAGAGAUACAGGCUGUCUGUGGGGAAUUACAGAGGCAAUGCCGGAGAUGCAAUGACCUACCACAAUGGUUGGAAGUUCACAACGUGGGACAGAGACAAUGAUGUGGCUCUCAGCAACUGUGCUCUGACACACCAUGGCGCGUGGUGGUACAAGAACUGCCACUUGGCCAACCUCAAUGGGAAAUAUGGGGAGAGCAAGCACAGCGAGGGGGUGAACUGGGAGCCAUGGAAGGGCCAUGAGUUCUCCAUCCCUUUUACUGAGAUGAAGAUCCGUCCUCGGUCUUCUAGUAAUGAGUCAAUCCUGGCAAGGAAGAAGAGAUCUCUAUCAGGAAAAAGGAGGAAGAUCAGGUCUUAAAUUGUCCUCUGUGCAGGACAGCACCCAAAGAUUAUGAUUUGGUAUUUCUUAACAAAAUUAGGUUUGGAUGACUUUCUCCAGUACUUUGGAGGCAACUGCUGACCAACCUGGACCCAGAGGUCUCUAAAUCUGCAGCUCAGCCUGCUUCCAGCCUUUGGAGCUCCUGAUGGGUGUGCUGUCAGAGACUGGGAGGGGACUUGUGGGUGGCAUGCCACUUGUAGCUUUCCUGGUUAACCAUGACAAAGACCUGCUUGAUCCGAUGUAUGCAACUUUUAUGAAUUGUGCAUAAAACAAGCUUUAACACAUGUUAUUAUUUCUAGAAACCCAGCUUGCUGACUCCUCUGAUUUCUGUCCUUCUCUGACGCCAUCUACUUCAGACUUCAAAAAAUUCAUUUUGAUCUCACUGAAGAAUGAAUUCUUCCUAAUUUAUAUGAGAGAGCUUUCCUGAGACUGUCUCCUCACACAUCUCUUGGUCAGUGGUCCUCUUUUCCUUUCCCCUCAUCAUUUGGGGGCAUGACAUUCCUAACUCUUUCUCCAGUCAAAGCACUGGGAUUUGGGAAAUGUUGUCAAGCUGGUGACAGCAGGGCUCAUUAACUCAGGCAAAAUCUGUAGUCUGGGUUCCUCGGCCUCCAAUAUAACAUCUUUCCAGGGUAAUAUCCUGGUCUAUAUUUAGCAUGUCUCUUCUUAUCUCCCAGCCAAAAGAAAAGCCGGAGGGGACGUGCAGUAAAUGAAUAUUCACGCUCCCAGGUGAUGCCCCAAUGAAGGUAAAUAUAAGGGCUACACUCCUCCAAGCUUCUCUCCCCAUCCCAAACCUCUGCAUAAACCUUGCUCGAUACAGACCAUGAAGAAAAUUUUCGAUGUGACUGUCCCAUCUGCCACCCUCAGCUUUUUCAUUAACAGUGCAGAGAGCUAGUGAUGUUGAAACGAUAAUGCAUGUCAUCCAGCCCUAAAAUUAGCAUCACAGAACUAAACUGAUCCUGUACACUCUCCCUCAGGCUUUUCUUUCAGGGAGUCUGGAGAUUCAGGUAGGUUUCAGUGGCUGGUUUCACAUUUAGCUGCUUUUUUUUUUUCCUCAGACCAUAAGGAUGAGUCUUACUUUCUUGCCCUGAGCAGAUAUUUAAAUUCUGGACCACCAGCUACAGGCAGGGAAGAAGUAUGAACUCACCAAAUGAUGCUUACUUAAAGGCUUGCUUGUCUGAGCAGAUUGGAACCUGAUUGUCCUAUGCUUUAAUGGCCUUUUCUAUCCCAGUGCUAAGCUGACUAAUACAUUUUGAAGAGCCCUCAGACUCUGGAGAAGCAAUAAAAUAGCAGAUAAAGGAGGUCUUAAAAUAUUUCUGUCUUCCUUGCUUUGGGUGUCAGAAUUAUUGUUCUUUUUCCAUUUGAACUAAGCUUUAUUUACAGUGAUGGAGCCACAUCCAGGCCUGCAGCAUCGCAGAGCAAUGUGGAAAAACUGGUGCUGUGAGAAUGAGGUCUUUGGAAUUUCCAAAAUUGGGGAUGGGGUCUAUGUGAUCUCUUCAUUACUUGAUGCUGCAAAGAAAUUAACUGAUCUGUGGCUGCUGGGAGUUGGCUGAGGAGAGCUAGCCAGAGAGCUGGCUCUCACAAGUGAGGUCUGAAUUCUUUGUAGUGCUUUCAUUUCCAUGCUACUUGCAUGGGUGGGCAGGCAGAGACUCAGCUGAGCUGCAUUAGGAUACCAAUACCCCUUGGUAUGAGGGAAGGAGGAGAGGAGAGGAAAACUGCACUUGAAGUGUUUUGCAACUCUGUGUUAAGAGCGUGAGGGAAGGAAAUGGGAAGGGAGGGAGAUUGAUUGUUGCUCGGAAAUGAUUCCUCUCCAUUGCCCGGAUGAGGACAGGUUUCACUGUGUUGGUCAGCUAGAGGGCAGGUGACUCAGGGGGACCUGAGGAUUCAAUGCCUUACACUCAGCCACUCUAAAAGCAAGCCUGUGCUCUAAAAGGCAGCAGACGUGAUCACUCCCAGCAACUCUUUCCUGCGCACGCUGCAGAGGCAAAGCUUGAUUGCGCUCCAAAGCUGAAUCUUACCUGGGAGCAGAGAAUGUUCUCUGAAGUGGGCUGAGCUUUGUAUUCCAGAACGAAAGGAAAGUGAGGCACCUCACUAGCAGUUUCUGAAGUGGCACUUACUCGUUUCUCCUAAGUACGGGCCCAUCUCCUCCCCUAGGAAGGGCAGUCAGAGGCUGCUGCUAGAAAAGCUACGUGAGAAGCCAGUAUUUCCAGACAGCCACAGGAUGGCAUCCUCCCUUCGUGCUGCUUUAGGAGAAUCAGUCCUGUAUCCAGCUGGCCUCCACGGAAAGAUGUUUUGGGGGUUAACCCGACUGUAUCACGGAUUUAAAGGCUGGGACUGCUCUGAUAACGCAGUUUCUUUGCCUGCAGGAGCUGGCUGGGCUGGUUUAAAGGCUUGGGCUGGGCUGCUCGGAGUAGUCCCGUAGAGAGAGAGAAAAAAAAAAAAUGCAUAUCCUCUUAGCGUCCUUGUUUUUUUGCUGUGCCCAACCCCUAACGCCUUAGGGCCAGAACAGCUUCUCAAAGCCCCUGCCUUGCUGUGAGAUCACUGAAGUUUUGUAGACAGUGGGGUUUGCAGCAUGCCUGGGGCAGAAUUUGAAUCCCAGAAGGAUGUGCUGUCUUGGCGUCACCGACUUGACGGGGACAAUGCAAUGGAUGGGCCAUGCCAGCCAGGCCCCACCCGGGGCUCAGCACAGCCACUGCUGGCACCCAAAGGGCUGGACUCUGCAAAAUGCUGCUGCGGGGAGAGGUGGCUGCUUCCUGAAGGCAUCAGACUCUGAAGGGUGUAAUUCAGCACUCACUGGGCCACGGAAAGAGGAGAAAGAUGGGAGUGUCUCAUUGCACUGGGCACUUGGUUGGAAAGCAGCCACCCUACUUCUGGUUGCUGCUUCAGGCUUUGCUGGCUGCAGAAACAGAGGAACAGUCACUGAGGAUCCAGUUCUCCCCUCCUAAUGGGACUUUAGGGGCUAUGUGGGGCAGUUCUGGCGCCCUGGCCUGUUCCAGGGAACAGUCAGAAAUCGACAUCAGCUCCCCCAGCUCCUACUGCCGGUCCUCCCCAGAGCCCUGUGGCCUUUGUGCAGGACCUCAGGGCAGCAUCCAGGAACACUGGAAAGCUGAAUAUUGUCUCCAGGAGUGUCCUUCAGACUUGGUGAUGGAGCUGUGUUGGCCGGGCCCUCCUGUCCCAGCUGCAGGAUCAUGAGAUGACGGAUGAGAGGAGAGAGGGAGGGACACGUGUCAGGACAUCUACAGGGAGAAUAAUCAGCCUCUUUGAGGAUCUUCUUCUGAGCCUCCUGGAAAAGCAAGGCAGGUUUUGAUUUUCUGUUUGUUUUGUGCUUAUGAAAACUGGUUUCUUGCCUUCCCCUUGAUAGCCAAAGCUGAGCUUCCAUUUUUUCACUGCCAUCUCUUUGUUACACCUGGGUGGAAAAGCAAACAGCUCCAUCCUGGACAGGAGAUGAACACCAUCCGCUGCCAACCUCUGCUCCUGGCUGUCACCGCUGCACUAUAGCACUUUAGUUAGGGCACUUCUUACCCAUAAACUCUCAGUGAUGGGGAAAAUGUUCCUGUGCUGGUCUAGCAGGAGGCCUCUUCAGUUUUAAUCAGUUCCACCUGCUGCUUUUUGGGAUCUUUAAUGGGGCAGGCCACUCAGGUGGAGUGAGACAUUUCCAUCAGUGACACUGCAGAGAUCUCAACAGGUGCAGCCUCCUUGCCUGACCUGUUCCUCAGCUGUUGGACUCACUCGGUGCUUGGUUUGUGCUGGCUCUGCCAGCAGGUUGUGAGCUGCCCACCUGGGGGCUGGUCCCCAUGUCUAAUCCCGACCUCGGGGCCAGCUGAGGUUGUGUGCCUGAGCCCAGCAUGGACCAAGGGGCUGGAUUCCUGCUUAAUGCCUUCCUUCAGCUCCGCAGUGCUGCUGAGUAACGUCAGCAAAUCAAGGAGCAUGACCAUGAAAGAGACACUGGCCUGAAUUAUAAGCUACUGUAAAGAUGCCUUUAUGUUGCCAUCUGGAAGAUGUUUCCUGAGACAAAGCAGCUUCAGUGUGAUAAAAUCAAAAAGCAGUGUUUAGCAUUGGUAAUUCUGCCUUGGCUGUGCAUCCAGCGAUGGGCUGCAUUGUCCCGGGACACAUGGGUGACAAAGCGCAGCAUUGAGCAGAGCCUCUGCGAAGGGGUGGCUGCAUGGUGAUGGCCACUGGGGCUCUGUGCAGGUGGCAGCAAUGACAACAGAGCGCAGCAAAGGCUACCUGAGGUGUCCAGCUUCCUCAAGAUGCAAGAAAUUAAGGAUGGGAAGAGUGGAUGCUUCUGUUCUUUCAAGGGUCUCCAAGUGCUCCAGAAUGUAAAUGGGCCAAGCCUUCUUGAGCGGUUGAUUUCCCAUGAGAAAGAUGGUGGUACCAAGGCACUGAGAUUUGGGCCCCUCUUGUGAUGGAAGCGUGGAGGGGUGGUGUAGAAGGAAGGCAACGGGCCUUUCUCAGCGUGCACUUGUCUUCCCUUGGCCGUGCUGUCGUCAUUCCCUGCUGUGUGCAGGUCCCUGGGCAUGGCACAACAAAACUGCUGGCUUCAGGCUGAGCUCUGGUGGUGUGAUGGCUUUUUUUGGUUGCUGGUCCUUCUCUGUGGCUCUUUGGUUUGGGACCAGCAACCUCUGUGAAUGAGAUCGUGGUGGCAUAAAGAAGUAGCAUAGGAAACAGACCCUAACGAUGACGUCAAGACUGAAAGAAUUGAUCUUUUUUUCUUCUCAGUCUACCUUCUCUUUUUCUCUCAAGCUCAGCAUAACCCAAAGAGAUUGCCAUGGAUUUGAAAUGUGACAGAGGUUUGCCUGCUGAAGGAUGGUGUCUAUGGGGGCUCAAGGCCUCCCCGCCAAGAAAGGACAGGGAUGGGGAGGAGGCCAGGUGUCCCUGGCCAUGACUUGGGGUAGACAUCACGGCACCAAGGUCCCUGCUGGGAAGGCUUCUGCCACCAGCCCUGUAACAAAAGUGUUGGACAGGGUUUGCUGGGGAUUUCUAGGUCUUUUAACAAAAAUAUCAAAAAAUCUGUCUGUCUCUUUCUUUUCAUGUUAAGGGCCAGAGUAUGGGGGUGGGGAGACUGGAAAUUUGGUAUUUCUCUGGGACAGAUGCAAAGCAAUGAGGUCUUUCCUUCCCCACAGCCUUCGCUUGUGCUGUGGUUCCCUCCAGGACUCGUGAGGGGCAGGUUGC